rnacentral:lncRNA from 1 species
AUAAUGGUGGGGGUCUUCUGCAUGCCUCCUUCUUCAGGCUGAUGUCAGAUAUAGGUCAUCCUAUUAAAAGCCUGCUUGAUUUCACAUCAGAAGAAUUGAAGGAAACAGAAGAUGGCUACGCCAAGAAGACACAGCUACCAAAAUGAAGCCUAGGAAUUCUGGAAAUGAGAAAGACGGAACAAUAGAAUGAAAUAGACAAUAAAUAGCCACCAUUCUGAAGAAAGGUAAGCAGGCUAUAUCAUUAAAAGUAGAAAACAAAAUCCUAGAGAAGUGGU